rnacentral:rRNA from 1 species
CGCGGCCUAUCAGCUUGUUGGUGGGGUAAUGGCCUACCAAGGCGUCGACGGGUAGCCGGCCUGAGAGGGUGGACGGCCACAUUGGGACUGAGAUACGGCCCAGACUCCUACGGGAGGCAGCAGUGGGGAAUAUUGCACAAUGGGCGGAAGCCUGAUGCAGCGACGCCGCGUGGGGGAUGACGGCCUUCGGGUUGUAAACCUCUUUCGACAGGGACGAAGUGAAGAUGACGGUACCUGUAUAAGAAGCACCGGCUAACUACGUGCCAGCAGCCGCGGUAAUACGUAGGGUGCGAGCGUUGUCCGGAAUUACUGGGCGUAAAGAGCUCGUAGGUGGUUUGUCACGUCGUCUGUGAAAUUCCGGGGCUUAACCUCGGGCGUGCAGGCGAUACGGGCAAUACUUGAGUGCUGUAGGGGAGACUGGAAUUCCUGGUGUAGCGGUGAAAUGCGCAGAUAUCAGGAGGAACACCAAUGGCGAAGGCAGGUCUCUGGGCAGUUACUGACGCUGAGGAGCGAAAGCAUGGGUAGCGAACAGGAUUAGAUACCCUGGUAGUCCAUGCCGUAAACGGUGGGCGCUAGGUGUAGGGGACUUCCACGUUCUCUGUGCCGUAGCUAACGCAUUAAGCGCCCCGCCUGGGGAGUACGG